CGCAGCCUUGCAGGCUGCUCUUUCGCAACAAGGUUCCUGCACAUUCGGUGCAAGUUUGGUUACAUUGUUUGGCUAAAUAUUAUGUGUGCGCAUGAAUAACCUCGGGUUUCUUGUAGUCUAUUCGAUGGCUAAUGUAGACUCGAUAUCAAUAAGUCCUUGCAGGUUGAUAACCUAGAGCUUCGGCCCCUCCGAUUUUGCUCGCAUUACUUGCAAGCGCUUUGAAAAACAAGUGAGGAAAUGUACGCUACAGAGUUCUACAAAACAUAUCCAUGGAAUAAGGCGUUAUACGCUUAUGUAUGCAGGGUGUGUUGGUUGUGGUUGAUGUAUAUAAAGAACAACAAAUACUAAACAGAUAAUCAACAACUAAUAUAAAAUUGUAUUUAUUUGCGGUGGAUAGUAAAUGUUAUAGCCGACUAAUACUGACUUCUGUUUUAAUGGUGGCAAUCGAUAUACCUAAAAGGUAGCUAGGUGGCUGUCUAUAGAAGCUGUUCGGUGCCACGCACAUGGGUUACCCCGACUAGGCACUAAGCAGCAAACUAAUAAAAAGUCCUCUUAUAUAUUACAUUACAUAAAAUGAUAUUUACAGACAUUCGGUUAUAGUACAGUUGUCUGAUUGGUCUGCAAACUGUCAGCUUCAUUACAAUUGUGUUGCUGUCUUUUAUGCGUUAUGCCUUAUUUAUUUAUUUUCUGUGCACGGGAUUGCCACUUCUUGAUCUCACGGCUAAACUGCGUUAUGCACUGAGCUGGACCUGGGCAAGAUUCACGUUUGUGUGAUUUUGCUAAAAUGCAUCACCAACAGCGAAUGGCUGCCUUAGGGACAGACAAAGAACUAAGCGACUUAUUGGAUUUCAGUGCGAUGCGAAACAGCGAUUUGAAAAUGUUCCCAACAUCAAUGAUGUUUUCCCCUCCUGUUACCAGUGGAAAGAACGGACCCACCUCUCUCAGCAGUGGACAUUUCUCAGGCUCAAGUAUGUCAAUCAUAGCUCAUUUUAAUAGCAGAAUGACAGUGGCUUGUUGCACGUACACGAGUGGUUAAAUGGAUUUGUUUGGGUUUUUUCAAAUUCCUCCUUUUUUGACAUUGUGGAUGAUAUUGACACUUUUUGUUGUUGUUGCUUUGUACAUCAGAGAUCAAGCUGGGUAGACGCAGAGUGUAUCUAAAACAUGUUAUCAUAGCUUAUUUGUGCACUGUAUGUUUUUGGACCUUGAUGUUAGUGGUGAACUUAUGCAGGGAUUAGUGAUGUAGGCAGGUUAUGCUAACAUUUAAUAGAUCCCCUUCUCAUCAGUGUGAAUGCAAAAUGGGGUUCAUGGUUUUGUUUUAUUGUCAAGACUUGAUUGCGUAAAUGCAAAAUGUGACGUUUUGCAGGCUGGUGGAAAGACAGAGCUUCUGAAAUGUCUUCUUUGUCUCUUCGGUUGUGGCCUUGUUGUCAUUUGCAUCAUGGGGUUUCCAGGCUAGCUUUUGUCUGGAAAAUUCUGAAACUCCAUUUUGAGGUUAGGUAUUGUGCUUGAAAAAAAAAAAAUCUGUUUUCUAUCAUAUUUUUUUCUGUAGCGUCACACCUAAAUGCACAUUGUACAGUACACAAAAUAGUACUGCUUCAUUAUGACACAAUGGUUUUGAAUCCUCUUUCACAACAUAUGACCUGUACACCCUUUCUUCCUACUGUAGUUACAGAGAGUGUCUAUUCCUGUGUGUUUUAGGCUAGAAUGCAAUGUAGGCCAAAGUGGCCCAGAAGGCUAUUUAAAAUGACCAUGCUUUUCUUCGUCUCGAGAACAUGCUGGAAAACGUACAUUUAUUUUUUAUAAAAUCUAGAACGAGUUAGAGCUUUGAGUUGACGUUCCUUUUUCCCAUUAUGAAGUUUUUUCUUAUGUUGUGCAUGUUUGUUCAGUUGACAUGCUCAGUCAAUUCUGCUAAGCCCAUGCAGUUGCAGGCCCAAACCAGGAACUGGACGAGGGAAUAUGAUUAGAUAUUUUGGGAACACCCAAAGAGAGACAGAGCACAUCAUUCUUUCACGGGCUCGAUACCCUAUCCUUCCCCUCGCUGUCGCUGUUUUCAAGUUCAACUCGGCUAUUUACGAUCUUGGCAAUUGCCAUGUUUUUCUGCGUCUUAUAACCUCUCAGAUCCUGUGUUUUUCCCGUGAAUUGUGUUGUAGGGUAGAGAGGGGGUGGGGUGUGUGUGUGUGUGUGUGUGUGAGGGGGUACCAAACUGCUCUACCCUGUUGCCAUGCAACUUGCAGUUGGCAGCGAUAAGGAGGAAAUGUUUUAUAAAGUGUGAAUUGACAAAAAAAAAGAAAAAUACAAGCAGCAAACCUUAAAUCUCAUGUGUAGGCCUGUGCUAUAUUUAUUUGAUUUAUCUUUUCAAGCUGAAACAUCAGCUCAGGAGGCGAUCACCAAAUCCAUCUGUAGCGUUUAUUUCCCCCUUUUGUGAAGAGAAAAGCGGCGCACAAACAAGCAGUGCCGCUCAGCCCUGUCGGUGCCAGUGUUCCGCAUUUGAGAAAUUUGGGUGAAGGCAGAUAUGGCCUGAUGGCAUGCCAUAUUUUUGUUCUCUUAAUCGGCAUAGCUUAUUAAGUCACAGUUCAGAGUAAGAAUGUUUUAAUAAUAUCCUGCCACCCAUUUGAUGCACUUGUACCCAGACAGAUAAAGUGCUCCAACGCAAGCCUGACUGUUCCCUGCCUCUAUUCAUUCAAAUCUGCUUUGGUCAUGCUUGUCAGUCAAAACGGACGGAUUGCAUUCAAAAUAAAGAUGAAGCGAGGGAACCAGUCGCUUAAUACUCGAUUCCUCUCCUCCUCCCACUAUCUUCUUUUUUUUUUUUUUUUUGCCUCAGAGUGUUAAAUUGUCUUGUUCCGAGGAAGCAAGAAGGACUACAAAAAAACAGCCAUGCUCUAAUUGUUCAACGGAUUAGGAAUUAAUAGGCAUUUUAGCUAUAAUGGCAAUAUUAUUAGCAGAAUUUGCUACUAAUACUAAUAAUUACUCUGCUAAUAAUGGCACUCAUUUCAAGGUUGUGUCUGAGUCUCAUCUAUGCUCAAGCCUCAAAGAUAGAUACUCUUUAGCCUUGAUUGCAAGACCAAAUGUUAGACAUGGUUUGGAUUUAUGGCAGUGUAGCGAAAGACUAGAAAGACUUGUACCAGUGGAACCUUUUUGUGCAGCAUGCUUACAUUCCAUCGCGAAAGUAACUCAAUCUACAAGUAUGACAACAUGACUUCAGGAGACAUGAGACAGAGGAUAGGAUACCGAGCAAUGUGACCCACAGAGACUUCACCUGGUUUCGUGUUUCCCAUUGAGAAAGGCUGGACCCCCGAAUAACACAUAUUGGGCUUUUAAUCAGCCCCUUGUUUGGCCAAAUGCAAUCCUCGGGAUUUACAGCUGCGUUCUUAAGGUUAGGCUACAUUCCUAGUUACUGUGCUUCUCCAAACACACCAGCAGCUGCAGGGAGUGUAGGCUCAAGUCCACAACUUCCUGCCCAGGCGCUUCACCACAAGUCUCCCCUCUGUUGCAUUUUGCAAAGCCAUGUCUAUGGCCAUCUCUUAGUGGCAAAUAAAAAGUAUCAUGUGCCUACUGUGUGAUUUCGA